rnacentral:rRNA from 1 species
CUACGGGCCGCAGCAGUGAGGAAUAUUGGACAAUGGUCGAAAGACUGAUCCAGCCAUGCCGCGUGCAGGAUGACUGCCCUAUGGGUUGUAAACUGCUUUUAUACGGGAAGAAAAACACCUACGUGUAGGUGACUGACGGUACCGUAAGAAUAAGGACCGGCUAACUCCGUGCCAGCAGCCGCGGGUAAUACGGAGGGUCCAAGCGUUAUCCGGAAUCAUUGGGUUUAAAGGGUCCGUAGGCGGGCUAUUAAGUCAGAGGUGAAAGUUUGCAGCUCAACUGUAAAAUUGCCUUUGAUACUGAUAGUCUUGAAUUGUAGUGAAGUGGUUAGAAUAUGUGGUGUAGCGGUGAAAUGCAUAGAUAUCACAUAGAAUACCGAUUGCGAAGGCAGAUCACUAACUAUAUAUUGACGCUGAGGGACGAAAGCGUGGGGAGCGAACGGGAUUAGAUACCCCUGUAGUC